rnacentral:rRNA from 1 species
UACGAAGGGUGCAAGCGUUGUUCGGAUUUAUUGGGCGUAAAGCGCGCGCAGGCGGAUAAUUAAGUCAGAUGUGAAAUCUCGGGGCUCAACCUCGAAACUGCGUCUGAAACUGAUUGUCUAGAGUUUCGGAGAGGAGAGUGGAAUUUCACAUGUAGGGGUAAAAUCCGUAGAGAUGUGAAGGAACACCAGAGGCGAAGGCGACUCUCUGGCCGACAACUGACGCUGAGGCGCGAAAGCGUGGGUAGCAAACAGG